GAGCUGCCGGCGAGGAUGCUUUUACCUGGGUCUCUGCAUCAGUGAGCGAGGCUGGGAGAGGAGAGAGGCGCUCGGGUCUGCAGAACUAACUACCUCUGGAUGGUUUAAAAUAAAAACAAAACAAAACAAAACAAAAAGAAUUUUUUUUUUUUUUAAAGAAAGGGGGGAAAAAAAAACAACUCUGCAAUCCUCUGCUCCCCACAGGCUCAGCACCAUAAGGGACUGCUAUAUUUGAGGCUGUCAGGAGGAUGGGAGAGAGAAAUUGAGAGUCAGGGCGAGAGAGGGAGACGGUGCCACAGCAGCGAUUACUGAAAAGAAGUCUUAAUACAUUUUGAUUCAGUUCAGCAUCGGUUUUCACUCAUACAAGAACUAUUCUGUGGAUCUCAUAUCUGUUUGACGGACAACUUCCGUACAGCUAACAGGAGAUUUGAGGCUAAGCUUUAAUGAAGAAACGCCAACGUUGCUAACAACUGCAGAAAGAGGGUCUGAAGACCUUUGCAACCAAUGAUGUGGUUGUCAUGGAAACUGUUUCUGUUUCUGUCACUCACUGGCUGUCUUUCAGAAUACUCAGAAGCUGUUCCUGGUCUCCCCACGUCAUAUGCUGCUAUCCUAAGAAUCAAAUCUGGUAGUUCAUCUUUAGCUUCAUUUAAUUCAAAGAACAGACCACGAUUAAGCAGUCCUGCAUUAGGAAGUGUAUCUUCACCAGGUUGGAGAGGAGCUGCACAUUAUCACUCCCCAACAAACCUUUACCACUUUUCAGAGGCCUUCAAAC